rnacentral:rRNA from 1 species
ACGGCCUUUCGGGUUGUAAACCUCUUUCAGCAGGGAAGAAGCGUGAGUUGACGGUACCUGCAGAAGAAGCACCGGCUAACUACGUGCCAGCAGCCGCGGUAAUACGUAGGGUGCGAGCGUUGUCCGGAAUUAUUGGGCGUAAAGAGCUCGUAGGCGGCUUGUCGCGUCGGAUGUGAAAGCCCGGGGCUUAACCCCGGGUCUGCAUUCGAUACGGGCAGGCUAGAGUUCGGUAGGGGAGAUCGGAAUUCCUGGUGUAGCGGUGAAAUGCGCAGAUAUCAGGAGGAACACCGGUGGCGAAGGCGGAUCUCUGGGCCGAUACUGACGCUGAGGAGCGAAAGCAUGGGGAGCGAACAGGAUUAGAUACCCUGGUAGUCCAUGCCGUAAACGUUGGGAACUAGGUGUUGGCGACAUUCCACGUCGUCCGGUGCCGCAGCUAACGCAUUAAGUUCCCCGCCUGGGGAGUACGGCCGCAAGGCUAAAACUCAAAGGAAUUGACGGGGGGCCCGCACAAGCAGCGGAGCAUGUGGCUUAAUUCGACGCAACGCGAAGAACCUUACCAAGGCUUGACAUAUAGCCAGGAACGCGUCUAGGAGA